GAAAAGAAGAACAUUUUGUAGGGGAGUGGCAGGAAGAAUGUCAGCUAUUCUGGGGAGCCUCCUCUGAACCACAUUUACUUCAGAUGAUGCCUCCUGAUCUGGUUACAUGCAGCAUUUUCAUGAGAGGGAUCACUUACCUCACCCAGGGCAGGGGAGACCUGGGGUGCAGGGCAGAGUGGAUGUUUCCUAACAAAUGCAGGGGAAGUGGCCCAGCUCUGCUGUGAACUUCAGCAGGGGAGAGGUGUGCUGCGGCUGCAGAAAGGUCAUGGUCUCCCAGCCAGGCUGGAGUCACCUUGAUUCCACCUUCAUUUCAGCACAAAAAGGAAGGUGGUGUUUUUACAAGGAAAGGAUUGCAUCACAAAACAAACAGUUAAGCAUUUGCCAUCUAGGAAAUAAGGUCAAGGAUGGUAUUUGUACUCUUUCACUGAAUGAUAGUUUUAUAGCACAAGAGGGAGAUAAUCUCCAGAACUACUUCCUUCCUAAUCUCCACCUACUUCCACCUUACUUAGGUGCAGUGGAAGGUGGUGAAUGGGUGGUAAAUAAAGUGGAACAAGAUUGGAGUUAAGGUGCCCAGUGAAUGUUCAUGGCUAAAAUUAUUCUACCCCUGUCUAUGCCACAAUGCUCAUAAACAAUGCUGAGUCCUGGGUUUCCAAAAUCAAGAAUCUAGCAGUUAAAUAGAAAAUUAUGUAUUCCUCCAUUAGCUGGAGUGCCUCACAUGGUUCCUGGGCUGGAUUUUCACAAGGGCACAGGUGUUAUCAAGAGGCAUGAUUCAAGCUUAAGAGGCAUUUUAAAAAUGCCCCACACGUUGGAAAAUCAGAUCCUGGCUGUUGGGGGGCCUGCGUUCCCUGGGCAUUCAGAUUCUUCUAUUUAACUGUGAAAAGCUACACUGCUCACAGGUAAUGGA